rnacentral:ncRNA from 1 species
CUACCUCGAUGUCGGCUCAGGGUAUCCUGGAGGUGAAGAAGCUUCCAAGGGUUGGUCUGUUCGCCCAUUAAAACCCUACGUGAGCUGGGUUCAGAACGUAAUUUACGUUGCGUUGCAACACAGCAAUGUGUUAUGCUAGUACUGACUCAUAUCGGUGAAACCCGAACGGAAACGAGCACGUUUCUGAGGGUAAUACCGAGGGAAGACAAAAGAGAGUGUGAAUAAAACUACUAAAGCUUAUAUUGCCGGUUUUCUGGACGGAGACGGAUGCGUGAUGCUCCAACUGAUUUUCAGACAUGAUUAUGUCUUGGGAUAUCAGAUUAGAGCCAGCAUCGUCUUUUACCAGAAAACGCAGUAUAAAGAUUUUCUUUUUUGGUUAAAAAAACAAUUGAAAGACGGGUAUGUCAGAGAUAGAAACGAUGGUAUGAGUGAAUACACCAUCGUCGGCUAUGCUUCGGUGAAACGAGUGCUGAAAUUACUUUUGCCUUAUUUAAAACUUAAAAUAAGGCAGGCAAAAUUAGCGCUCAAGGUGAUUAAGCAAACACCGGGCGGAAAAAGAUAUACGCCGGAAUUAUUGUUAAAACUUGCCAAAGAAGUUGAUCAGUUUGCCAAGCUGAAUUAUUCAAAAAAGCGUUGGCGGACGGCUUUAGAAGUGAAAGAAUAUUUACAAACACACGAUCUUUUGUCCCCGUAACGACUGGAGUCACGUUCAGUUAACAUGAAUGUGAUGAAGAUGUCCGCCAAUUAGGGGACAUAAAACGUCAGCCCCGCCUAAAUAUGAAAUUUUUGGCGGGUGAAGGUAUAGUCUGUGCCAUUAGUAAUAAUGGAUUAUCACGCGCAAGACAGUAAGAAAAGAGAGACUUUGCUGUCUAUAAAUUCUGCUAUAUGCUGGAAACUCCGAGUAUCCUACAGUAGUCGCCUCAGGCGACUGAAAAUCUGUUAGGUGCGGACAAUCAGCAGGGAACUUCAAAAGAAUUUUUGAAGACACCUCAGAGACUAUACGCAGGAGUACGUUCAGUUAACAUGAACGUACAAGAUAUAGUCCGAACUCUGCAGCGAUGCAGAGAGUCUAAUAGAAAUAUUCAGACUCCCGACGUCACGUCGGGAUAACAUAAUUGUCGGUCUCUAUCCGCAGUCAACGUUGGAUUCUUGAAGGAGUUUGACCCUAGUACGAGAGGACCGGGUUGAGUCAGUCCCUAGUGUGCCGGUUGUGACAUCAGUCGCAGCGCCGGGUAGCUACACUGAUUUAGGAUAACCGCUGAAAGCAUCUAAGCGGGAAGCCUUUCCUAAGAUAAGGAAUCCCUAUAAACCCCUGGUAGACUACCAGGUUGAUAGGCAGCCGGUGCAAGAGCCGUAAGGCUUUAAGCCUAGCUGUACUAAUCGGUUGAUCGAAAUUAGAUC